UCCAGGGAGGCCUCAAUUCGGGCAGUACUUUGUCCAUCCGGACCAUUUUAUAACUUUCUGCAAUAACGCCUUGUUCUUGCCAUAGGUUUUUGAUUGCAAGUGUCUUUAUUUGUUCUUUUAACUUCAUCAGUAAAUAGUAACAAGACCAUUAGACCAUUGUCUUGCAAUUACAGUUAUGCAUGUGUUUUCAACGUAAGUUUAGAUAUUUAAUUAUGAAAACGGUAGUUCUUGGGUGCUCGUGACCUAUUUUCACCACUAUUUGUCUAGUUUUGGUUACUGUAAUUAUCAAGAAGUUUAAUCAGACCACUGGCCAGAAGAGUUUUGUCUUUAUCAAUGAUGAACGAGUAAAUUGUAUUAAAUUACAGCCCUUUAAAAAUUUUUUUAAUUUGGCUGAGUGAAGAGAUGGAGAAUCUGACAAACUUUCUUUAGGUGAUUUGUUUACAAAGCUUGUCAUUGGUCGUCGUUUGUAUUCUGGACAUUCACAAAAAUGUUUAACUGUUAGUGUUAAAGUUUGCCUUCUAGUUGUUAUUUGAAAAGUGUUACUUUAUGAAUCUUUGUCUUAAAGGCUAGAUUACUACUAUGAACUGCAGUUUCAACGUUUAAUAUAGAGUAUAGACAAUGAAAACAUGGGGUUCGAAGAAAUUCAUGGUUUAAAAAUUAUUCGUUGCCUCUUGCUGAUAAUUUAAUUUUAUAAAUAAAAUCGAGAUAUUUACACUGCUUCCAUACUUAAUUUCAUCACUGAACCUGUUCCUUAUGACAAGUGCUUGUCACAGUUAAAGAAAAUGCGUUAAAUUCCAAUAAGGAAAAUUUUAGCCAGGCCUGCGCAAGAAGGUUGAUGGCAGUGCAUGCAUACCACGGUUAGACUGGGAAUUCCUGAAGGGUGUUCGCAGUGUCCAUUCGGCCUCUAGCUGCACCAACUUUUUAAUCUGUUUUCUUUACCUCCAUUUCCGCUUCCUUCCUUCAAUAUUUCUCUUAACUCUCACUUCUUAGUAUAAAUGGGUUUUCUCCCAGUUCGGCGUUAGAUCCCUAUACUCAUCUAUAUUUUAUGGCUCUCUUUAUCUUGCUAUUCAACCAGGCCAGUUCCCUCUUUUCACUGUUUUAAGGACUGAAUAACUGAAAGUAACACGGCAGUUGACCUUACAGUAUAAAUUUCAUAAAUCAAAUCAAAUAAAGCGAUAGAUGGAUGAUAAUUUCAGUGUUUUUCAAUCGAGAAUAAAAAUAGCAAGUCGAUAAACGAGGUUUACGUUGGAUGAUAUGAGAAGGCUCAGAAAUUUUCUGAAACCCUUCUUAGGGUAACGCCAGUUGUUUGUCGUAAAUCUUGCGCAAGGGCUUUUUUGUUGUGCUCAGAGACCAGUUAAGUGAGGUGAUUUCCUCAAGAUUAUUACGUUUCUUCUUCAGUUCAGUCGUAAACUCUGUGACGAACGUAAGUGGAUAUUCGUCACCAGUAUGGAGCAUCUGCAUUCACUUCAGGUAGUCGAGCAGUAGAUGAUUUCGGAAGGCCGAAAUCGCCAAAGGUGGAUAUUAACAGUUCGAAAUCGUCGGGUCUCUUACUGGUGGUUCUAUUUGAUUUGGUAAACCCUAAAAAAUGGAAAGUCCAUCACAUCCAGCCAUCAACGCAAUCUAGUACAACAGAGGUAGUUGAUGAUAUUACUUUUCUCAAUAUUGCCUACAUCCUGGUCAGGUAGAUGUUUCAAAAUAAUGUCAGAUUUGUCGUAACUUGCUGCCAUCAAAUUUAGACAACUAGAAGAAAGACUUUAUAAAAAAUGAGUGGACUCGAGGCAACAAGAAUCUCGUAAGGAUCAAGUAAAGGACUUAAGGUUCUUAAGACAGGGUUCUCAAGUAUUGAACUUCAUCAUACAAUGUUUUUGCAACAUGAAAAUUUAUAUUUUUUUUAUACUUUUGCCUUAAUGAAGGAGUUUUGAAUAAACCGUAAAAGCCACGAAUCUGAUGCUGGGAAAAAUUUGCAGGAGCAUUGUUGUUGCUGCAUUAAUUUUGCAAGACAUAAUCUACCUUGUUGUUGACGAGGCUUAUAAAACUUUUAGAAACUGGACCAGUUUCGGAUGAUCAACGUGGGACCAUUACUAGUGGAAGAUGAGGCAUUGCAGAUGCAUACCAAUCCAUUUUCUUUACUUGCUCAGUUUCUCAAUCGGGGAGACUAUUUUUAUUUGUCCAUUAUAGUUUAGCCACAGGUAAUUCGAUGUUUUGUUUAGCGAAUUCCUUAGUAAUAUGUUUUCUUAAGGAUAAUGAUAUACUUGUUUUGUUGUGAAGGUGUAUGAAGUAAUUAUAUGUUAGUGCUAUCAGUGACCUUUGGUAACUUUAGUACUGCCAUUUUUUUCUGUUUAAUUCGGGAACUUCUGUCUAGUUAAGGACAUAGUGAAGCGAUAUUCCUUAGGGCCAUAAUAUUGUCAGUGCGAAGUUGUACAAGAAGUAUAGAUGUGCAUUGAAACAGCCCUGUGAAUGCUCUUCAAGGUUUCUAAAAAUUAACCAAUAUCAUUUUUGUGUGUUUAAUACAGAGUAUCAUUAAAGAAUAUUUCCAAAGGUAACUUCAUACUCGUGGGUGGGGUGACGGAAGAAGAGUUAUUUCUUGGAGACCUGUAACUGAAAAUCCUUUUACGAAGCCUAGAAUACGAAUGCAGUUAACAAUUCAUGUUUAAUUUAUUUUGUAAGUAUGAAAAAGUUUCUUAAUCACAGUAGAUUAUGAUUUACUAUAUUAAAUAAAAGCUUUAUCUCAACAGAAAUACUUUUAACUUAAAGCAUGCAUCUGCAUAUAGAGAAUUACUUCAAAGUAUGAAAUUGACGAAUUUAUUGGCCAUGCUUGUGAACCAGUUAGAUUGUGCAAGUGUAGAAAAUGUCUCUUCGAGACGAGUAAUGUAGAAGUGCCGCCAUUACUUAUUAAAUAUUGUUUUGCGUUUAUGUGAGACACUGUACAUAAACAUAACAGGGUAUUAAAUAAUCUGAGGACUAAUGCCUGUCGGUAAAGGAACUUGCUCCUACCUGCACCAACUCGGAAUAGUCUGGCAUAUUCAUUACAUAUCUUUAACUGUUGUCACACUUACCAACACAGAACACCCUACACUUCUUAUCCUUUUUUAUCAGUCCUUUAUUUUUGCAGAAUAGACUAGUCUGGUAGACGUCUGUUCUAGAAGGCUACUCUGAAAUAAACCACUGUCCUUCAAUCUUGGACAGUGCCAUAGCCCACUGAUCUAGCAACAAUCUUGACCUUUUAUUCACUGAUGUGGAGUAGGUUUGCUUAAGGUUGCUUUGGUUAAGGUUGUGGAGAUGGAUCAGGUUGUUCCAGAUAUUACUUUUUCAAGUAAAGAAUACUUUAAAUCUCAGGCCUGCUGUAUAUUACCCUAACUAAACAGAAGGCAGAACUUUUGGCUCGAAUCUUUGUGAGCAGUGUGUGGGUCCGUGGCGUUGCCUCAGUUGUGCUUUCCAGAGCCUAAGUUGUGUUAAAUUCACUUGAGGUCUAGAGAAUUCAAAAUUUUGCUUCUGGAAUGUUGUUAGUUAUGGUGGCAUAGACCCUAACAGGAUCUUUCCCUUUUUUUUAAAGACUGCUGAUAUAAUUUUUCUUAAGAUUACUGAUUACUAUCAUUUUCAGAAGUUAGUUGGACUUCCAAGUUGUUUGGAGGAAGGCCAACAUGGCGCUGCUUUACCCGAGGGACUAAGACUGUCUUCAUGCUUCCCCGAAUAUAUAGGUCAGUUUUUUGAGAAAAUGCUCCCUAAGAGUCUUUGUAUGACCUGCUACCAGUGUUACAGUUUUAGUGUCGUGAAGGCCUUGGUACUUGUGAUACACUCAUUGACAAAUCUACCAUCUGCAGAGUGCUUUUGACGAGGGUGCAAAGACAGACUCGGUCUAGUUUUCGGUGCAGCCUUUAACCACGUGAAUCAUGAAGCACUACUUCUGUAUGGUGUUUGUAUCAGUGUGGUUCUCUGGUACAUAAUAUCCUCUCAAACUUGGAGAGAGGUAUUUGUCAAUUUUCUUUUGCCAAACCUUUUAAUGUUGACUUGUGGCAUAGACAUUAAGUUUGGAGUAUAGUUUUUGUUACAUGAUCUGCAGUACGACGAUAUAUAUCCGCGGCACUCUUCUUUACUAUCGUGACUUUUUGUUUGCAACAGUAUGCAGCUGCUGCUGCGCACGGUGUGAUGCGUUUUAGCAUCAGGUUUGUGUGGGAUAGUCCUAGUGCAGCAGUAGAAUCCUCUUAUCUCCAAAUAUUAAAGCAGGGAACAAAAACGUUCCUGCAGACAUAUACCUGAAUUUCAGAUGCAUUUAAUUUUCUAUACUAUCAAAUUCAUAUAUUAUCUUUCCUUAUAACCUAUCUCUUUUUGCAGGAUGAUUUCCCUUUGGAACCUUAUUAGGUUUUAUUGUCUGUUGAAUCUGUCCUUAUUAAAGGCUUAUGCUGAAGAUUUAGAAAUAAAAAAAGAAAGGGAAAUGGAAACUUUAUUCUCAAAUAGUUUCGAAUCUAACAUUGUGCUCUACAAAUAAAAAAAAAGAAAAAGUAUUAAUAAGGUCUUAUAUAAGAUUUUUAUUACUUCAAGGAUGGUACAUAGGUUUUGUUAAUGUUAGGUAUAGUGUAAAUAGGGUAAAAAUGUUGAGAUAUAAAGAGAAACUUGAUACAGUAACCUUAUUCUAAUGAAAAGUUAAAUACUGACCAAUGUUAGUGACUAUGAUUUUACUAAUGCAAAUCCCCAAAAGAAGUUCAUCUUUUGACCAAGAAAAUUCUUUAAUUUAAUUCUGUUGUAUUUAGUUUUGGUAAAGGGCACCUUCAGUGUGGGGGGCGUCACUAGAGAGAGGAAGCCGUCCAAGAGGCGGCCACGAGAGAGAGGGGAAGCCGUCCAAAAGGCGGCACGAGAGAGAGGGGAAGCCGUCCAAGAGGCGGCACGAGAGAGAGGGGAAGCCGUCCAAGAGGCGGCACGAGAGAGAGGGGAAGCCGUCCAAGAGGCGGCACAAGAGAGAGGGGAAGCCGUCCAAGAGGCGGCGCGAGAGAGAGGGGAAGCCGUCCAAGAGGCGGCGCGAGAGAGAGGGGAAGCCGUCCAAGAGGCCGCACGAGAGAGAGGGGAAGCCAUCCAAGAGGCGGCACGAGAGAGAGGGGAAGCCGUCCAAGAAGGGGCACGAGAGAGAGAGGAAGCCGUCCAAGAGGUGGCAAACGAGAGAGAGAGGAAGCCGUCCAAGAGGUGGCAAACGAGAGAGAGAGACGAAGCCGUCCAAGAGGUGGCACGAGAGAGAGAGAGAGGAAGCCGUCCAAGAGGCGCACGAGAGAGAAAGGAAGCCAUCCAAGACGCGGUACAAGAGAGAGAGAGGAAGCCACCAAAGAGGCGGCACAAGAGAGAGAGAGGAAGCCACCAAAGAGGCGGCACAAGAGAGAGAGAGGAAGCCGUCCAAGAGACGUCACAAGAGAGAGAGAGGAAGCCGUCCAAGAGACGGCACAAGAGAGAAAGAGGAAGCCGUCCAAGAGGCGGCACGAGAGAGAGAGAGUUAGCCAUCCAAGUGGUGGCACGAUUAAGAGGAAGCCGUCUAUGAGUUAAGCAAGAGAGAAAAAUGCAAUCAAAGAGGAGGCACAAGAGAGAGAAGAAUGCUGUCGCAGAGGAAGCAAGAGAGAGGAUGCAGGAGAGAGGAUGCUGUUGAAAAACUGGAUAUCACAAAAUGGUCUGAUAGUCUUCCAAGAUCCAGCAUGAUGAGGAUGGAGUUACUAACCUGGCUGAUUGGAGGAUGCCAGCACUGAGCAGGCAUAAGAGAGGAUGUUGUCUGAGCUACAAUUGAAGGGCAUCUGUCACAAUUGAAGAUACUGUUAAAAAAGACCCAGUACAAGAUAACAUAUAAUAAUAGUGGAAGUUGAAUAGGUAUUGGCAUCCAUAAGUUUGCUGGCACCAGUGAGCAGAUGGCAUUAGCAUCCACAAACCAGUGAGCAGAUGGCAUUAACGCCCACAAGCCAGCUGGCACCAGAGCAGAAGGCAUUAGCUUCCAAGAAUCAUCCGGCACCAGAUAACCGAUCAUGUUCAUGAGCCAGCUGCCACCAGAGAGCGUCUACGAACGGGCGACACCAGAGAGAAGAUGGCAUUGGCAUCCACAAGCCUGUUGGCACCAGAGAGCAGACAUCCUCCAAUGAGCCAGCUGGCCCAAGUGAGAGUCAACAAGCUGGCCAGCACCAGAGAGCAGCUGGCACCGGCUAACACCAAAGGGCAUUGGUGUCCAUGAGCCGGCUGACCCUAGAGAGAGGAUGUCUUCCACAAGCCAGCUGGCCACAGUGAGCAUCACCAAGCUGGCCGGCACCAGAGAGCAGAUGGCAUUGGUGUCCAUGAGCCGGCCGGCACCAAAGAGCGGAUGGCAUCCACAAACUGGCUGGCCCAGAGAGAGCAUGGGAUCCAUGAGCCAGCUGGCUCCCGAGAAGAUGGGGUCCACAAACCAGCUGGCCCCAGAGAGAGGAUGGGGUCCACAAGCCGGCUGGCCCCGGA